rnacentral:rRNA from 1 species
UACGAAGGAACCUAGCGUAAUUCGGAAUUAUUGGGCGUAAAGCGUCCGCAGGCGGUUUAUCAAGUCUGAUGUCAAAGCCCGCAGCUCAACUGUGGAAAGGCCUUGGAAACUGAUAGACUAGAGUGCGUGAGGGGUGGGGAGAAUGCCCGGUGUAGCGGUGAAAUGCGUAGAUAUCGGAAAGAACACCAGCGGCGAAGGCGCCCUACUGGCCCGCUACUGACGCUCAUGGACGAAAGCUAGGGGAGCGAAAGGGAUUAGAUACCCCGGUAGUCCUAGCCGUAAACGAUGGACACUAGGUGUUGGCUGACUCCACCCGGACGGGGGCGUAACCAACGCGGUAAGUGUCCCGCCUGGGGAGAACGCACGCAAGUGUGAAACUCCAAGGAAUUGACGGGGGCCCGCACAAGCGGUGGAGUAUGUGGGUUUAAUUCGAUGCAACACGAAGAACCUUUUCAGGGCUUGACAUCGCCGCGAAUCUGUAUGAAAGUUGAGAGUUCCUUCGGGAUCGCGGCGACAGGUGGCACAUGGCUGUUGUCAUCUCGUGUCGUGAGAUCUUGGUUUAUGUUACGCAACGAGCACAACCCUCGUUUUUAGUUCACAUCAUUAAGUUGGGCACUCUAGGGAGACUGCCGGUGCCAAACCGGAGGAAGGUGGGGAUGACGUCAAGUCAUCAUGGCCCUUACGUCCUGGGCUACACACGUACUACAAUGCUAGAGACAAAGAGCAGCCACUCAGCGAGGGUGAGCUAAUCUCUUAAACUGAGGUUCAGUUCAGUUGGCAGGUUGCACUUGGCUUGCAGGAAGGAGGAUUCGUUAUUAUUCGCAGUUCAGCAUGCUGCGGUGAAUACGUUUCCGGGCCU